rnacentral:rRNA from 1 species
GAUGAACGCUGGCGGCGUGCUUAACACAUGCAAGUCGAACGGAAAGGCCUCUGCUUGCAGGGGGCCUCGAGUGGCGAACGGGUGAGUAACACGUGGGUGCUCUGCCCUGCACUUCGGGAUAAGCCUGGGAAACUGGGUCUAAUACCGGAUAGGACCAUGGUUUGGAUGCUGUUGUGUAAAGUUUUUCGGUGUGGGAUUAGCUCGCGGCCUAUCAGGUUGUUGGUGGGGUAAUGGCCUACCAAGGCGUCGAGGGGUAGCCGGCAUGAGAGGGUGUACGGCCACAGUGGGACUGUGAGAGAGGCCACACUGCGACGGGUGGGAGAAGGGGGGAAUAUUUGACAAUGGGAGCAAGCGUGAGGCAGCGAGGCCGUGUGGGUGAUGACGACCUUCGGGUUGUAAACACCUCUCGCUAGGGACGAAGCGGUUUUGUGACGGUACCUGGAGAAGAAGCACCGGCUAACUACGUG